CGAGAUUCCCCCAGUAGCGGCGAGCGAACGGGGAGCAGCCCAGAGCCUGAAUCAGUGUGUGUGUUAGUGGAAGCGUCUGGAAAGGCGCGCGAUACAGGGUGACAGCCCCGUACACAAAAAUGCACAUGUUGUGAGCUCGAUGAGUAGGGCGGGACACGUGGUAUCCUGUCUGAAUAUGGGGGGACCAUCCUCCAAGGCUAAAUACUCCUGACUGACCGAUAGUGAACCAGUACCGUGAGGGAAAGGCGAAAAGAACCCCGGCGAGGGGAGUGAAAAAGAACCUGAAACCGUGUACGUACAAGCAGUGGGAGCACGCUUAGGCGUGUGACUGCGUACCUUUUGUAUAAUGGGUCAGCGACUUAUAUUCUGUAGCAAGGUUAACCGAAUAGGGGAGCCGAAGGGAAACCGAGUCUUAACUGGGCGUUAAGUUGCAGGGUAUAGACCCGAAA
rnacentral:rRNA from 1 species